rnacentral:rRNA from 1 species
GAUGAACGCUAGCUACAGGCUUAACACAUGCAAGUCGAGGGGCAGCAUGGUCUUAGCUUGCUAAGGCCGAUGGCGACCGGCGCACGGGUGAGUAACACGUAUCCAACCUGCCGUCUACUCUUGGACAGCCUUCUGAAAGGAAGAUUAAUACAAGAUGGCAUCAUGAGUUCACAUGUUCACAUGAUUAACGGUAUUCCGGUAGACGAUGGGGAUGCGUUCCAUUAGAUAGUAGGCGGGGUAACGGCCCACCUAGUCUUCGAUGGAUAGGGGUUCUGAGAGGAAGGUCCCCCACAUUGGAACUGAGACACGGUCCAAACUCCUACGGGAGGCAGCAGUGAGGAAUAUUGAUCAAUGGGCGAGAGCCUGAACCAGCCAAGUAGCGUGAAGGAUGACUGCCCUAUGGGUUGUAAACUUCUUUUAUAAAGGAAUAAAGUCGGGUAUGUAUACCCGUUUGCAUGUACUUUAUGAAUAAGGAGCGGCUAACUCCGUG